UCUAAUCUAGUGUAUUUUGCAUUUGGAUUUUUCGUAUCUAAGGAGUUACAAUAUUUGUAACGAUUAGUG
rnacentral:tRNA from 1 species